CCAGAUUUGAAUUCCCAGAUUUAAACUUCCUAAUUUUACAUCGAAUAAAAUUCCCAAGUUUAAUGAUCUUCUAAUACUGCAACAAGCAAUAUUGACAAGCACAAAAAAUCCCUUGGUCCAAACAGAAAAAAGAAAGUGAUUCUUCCGCAAAACUUUUAGAAGUGAUCUUAUCAGUCAAACAUCUGAUUUGAGCAUUUGCGCAAGGAGCACAAUUCAAAAGCUCCUCAUUGUUAUUGCUUAAUUCAGAACCUAACAACAAAAAUUUGGUUGCAGAUACAAAUACAAAACUCCACAUGGUAAAGGGACCAAAAAUCAUUUUCUGGAUUGCAAUAAACUCACAGAGGUGUAACAAAGGCCAAAGAAAGAAGUCCACCAUAGGCAUGUUUUUGCAAACUUUGAGAAAUGUUUACACAUUUUGUCCUGUCCCUCCGAUUCCUACCCACCGCACUAAACAAAUCCCUUGUAAUUAAAAUUCAUGAAUAAAUAAAUAAAUAAAUCUAUUAACUAGAUAUCACAAAUUGAAGCUGUAUAAUUGUUGCCCAUGGUACUAUGGUAUAGGGACCCAAACCUUCAAUGAUAUCUACUAUAAUAUCCAAAGAUUUUAACAUAACUCAUGCUCAUUCAUGACCAAUUCAAACCUAAAAGAUCUUACAUAAAUGCACCCUCAUGACAUUUGACCACUUUGGCGCCAUGAUAUGCACAGUGUGAACAAAAGAAAAUUACAAAAGAAAGGAGCAGUUCCAAAUGAUGUUCAUACUUUUAAAUGAUGAACUUUACAGCAAUUUACAGCAAACUUAGUACUAGUCUUGUGAAGGCUCAUUCCCAUGUA
rnacentral:misc_RNA from 1 species